rfam:Lactobacillus mellis strain Hon2 genomic scaffold Hon2_scaffold1, whole genome shotgun sequence.
ACGAUAUUCCGCUGUAAUGUUUAGAUUUACAUGAGUAUCAG